rnacentral:rRNA from 1 species
UACAGAGGUCACAAGCGUUGUUCGGAUUCAUUGGGCGUAAAGGGUGCGUAGGUGGCGCCGUAAGUCGGGUGUGAAAUUUCGGAGCUUAACUCCGAAACUGCAUUCGAUACUGCGGUGCUUGAGGACUGGAGAGGAGACUGGAAUUCAUGGUGUAGCAGUGAAAUGCGUAGAGAUCAUGAGGAAGACCAGUGGCGAAGGCGGGUCUCUGGACAGUUCCUGACGCUGAGGCGCGAAAGCGUGGGGAGCAAACGGG